ACAUCAUGUUAUGAGGAAGGUCAAAAGCUAGAUCAGUGUUGCUAAAGCGUGGGCCUCAGGCCAGCAUCAACAUCACCCGUGUGCUUGUCAGAAACGCAAGGUGUGGGAUCCCACCCAGCCCAGUGAGUCAUCAGCUCUACAGAUAAGGCCCGGAAACUGCUUGGACAAGCUCUUUAGGAGAUUGCUACGCUCAUUAAAGAUUCAGUGACCUGGUAGAUAAGAAGUUUAGUAUUUCCAGGUUUUAAACAUUGUUAAAGAAAAAGAACAAUUUUUUUUUUUUAAGAAAAAAAUGCCUUUAUUGUUUGAAGCAUAAAAAAAAGCAUAAAACAAGAUUGGUAUGACAUUUCAUUUAUAGUUUUCUCAAAGAGAUCAUAAAAAUACAAUGUCACUUUGACUUUAUAAGCUCUUGGAAAUGUUUGGAAAUUCAUCAUUAGUAUGAUAUAAAAAGGCACUUGUAAUACACAUUAAAAUAAUAAUAAUAAAAAACUCCACCUCAUAGACACAAUUGCAUUACUUUGAAAAAAAUUUCUAAACAUAGACUCCCACAUAAAUAGGGCUUCAUUUUUUCUUGUUUUCCAACACACGGACGGUUUUCCCCAGUUACUCAUGGACAUCAUAAAGGUGAAGUGCCUGUGAGCCUACUACCUUUGCUCUGAAUAUAGCUUGGCAUUAAAAAAGAAAGCUACGAAAUUUACCUGGCUGCUUUCCUUUUCACUUUAAUCUCCAUUUUGUUUAAGAUGAAACAAAAUUUUUAAUUUGUAACCAAGAUCUUUGAGAAACCGGGCUCAUUUAUUUCAAAUCAUAAUUCAUUAAAAA